rnacentral:tRNA from 1 species
UGGGUGCCGAGCAGCAGGCUGCCGCUCGCCCCCUCGAACGCGGCGCCGGUCACGAGUUCGGGUACCGUGCCGCCCGCCCA